GACGAACGCUGGCGGCGUGCUUAACACAUGCAAGUCGAACGGAAAGGCCCUGCUUUUGUGGGGUGCUCGAGUGGCGAACGGGUGAGUAACACGUGAGUAACCUGCCCUUGACUUUGGGAUAACUUCAGGAAACUGGGGCUAAUACCGGAUAGGAGCUCCUGCUGCAUGGUGGGGGUUGGAAAGUUUCGGCGGUUGGGGAUGGACUCGCGGCUUAUCAGCUCGCUGGUGGGAUAGUGGCUUACCAAGGCUUUGACGGGUAGCCGGCCUGAGAGGGUGACCGGCCACAGUGGGAAUGGGGAGCCGGCCAGACUGCUACGGGAGGCAGGAGGGGGGAAUUUUGGCAGAGUGGCCGAAGGCUGGAGGAGCAACGCCGGGUGGGGGAUGACGGCCUUCGGGUUGUAAACCGCUUUCGCCUGUGACGAAGCGUGAGUGACGGUAAUGGGUAAAGAAGCACCGGCUAACUACGUG
rnacentral:rRNA from 1 species